ensembl:lncRNA
CUUUCUCCCUGUACACAGGACCAAAAGUGCAGGCACAUCAUUUAUUGAUAAGACAAAAAGAAUGUAAUGAAAUUAUCAAUGUUCUUGAAUUAAUUAUGAACAUGAUUAAGAAAGCUAAAAUCUCAGGAGCCAGGAUCUCAUUACCCAUUCAGUCUUAGGGAUUGCUUUCAUUCAGCAAGGCAAAAAGGCUUUGAGCAGUCCCACAAUUGCCUUAGUCUCAUUUAUUUGUGGUAGUAUUAAGGUUUAUUUGUUUUCUGGUUUGCACUUCUUCUGAAAUUAUUUCUUAGUUUAUUCAUUUAACAAAAUGUUCCUUCCUAUGUCAAAGAAGAAAGUGCCUACAAGGCCUAGAUAGGUUCUUCAGUCUGCAGACCUCCCUUUGAGAACAUUUCUUCCAACUCACAUUGCUGGAGCUCCUAAAUAUCUUUCAAGCUUCCAGGAUCUUUGCAAGCAUUUGGGACAAGUUCUUCAGUUAAUUCCAAAGCAGACAAAACUUCUCUUGUGAAACUUUCUCACCUUUCUGACUGGAUGAAGACAGGUCCUGAAACAUGCCGGGCUGAGAAGAGCUACUCAAAAAAAUAAUUGAACAUGCUGGCCUAUUUACUUACUAUUUACUUUACUUCUUACUUAAGAAGUUCCAAGAAUAUCACUGCUAAGAGUCCUGGCUCAAGCCCUGCAAUGAUGUCAACAACAAAUAACAUUUCCAGUCCAGGAUGAACAUAUGCAUCCAUUUUUUCAGCAAGGAGUAGAAGUUUCAGGAGGUUGUCAAUUUGAAGAUAUUCUCAUCUUAAUCAUUACAUCAUUUGCUUUGUUCAUUAUUAUCCAGGUGACACCAAGGAAUUGCAUAAAUAAGGAAUACUGCCACGCAAAUGAUGAGGUACAGCAAAUGACAUCAGCAAAUUACAAAACAGCCCCUGCAAGUUAUACAAGGAGACAGAGAAUCCAUUCCACAUGAUCAGGAAGAACAAAGUGAUAAUAAAAGCAGGUUUUAUGGAGGUUAUGUCUCACAGCUCUUUAGGUCAGAUAAUAAUGUGCUAUGUCAUUAAGAUGUGGUAUCACUUUCCU